rnacentral:rRNA from 1 species
GACGAACGCUGGCGGCGUGCUUAACACAUGCAAGUCGAGCAGAAAUGCUCCUUCGGGGGUACUCGAGCGGCGAACGGGUGAGUAACACGUGAGUAAUCUGCCCUUGGCGUCGGGAUAGCCACCGGAAACGGUGAUUAAUACCGGAUACGACAACUUCUCGCAUGGGACGGAUGUGGCAAACUUUUUCGGCAAGGGAUUUGCGCGCGGCCUAUCAGCUUGAUGGUGAGGUAAUGGCUCAUCAUGGCUUCGACGGGUAGCCGGCCUGGGAGGGUGACCGGUCACACUGGGACUGAGACACGGCACAGCCUCCUACGGGAGGCAGCAGUGGGGAAUAUUGGACAAUGGGCGGAAGCCUGAUCCAGCAACGCCGCGUGAGGGAUGACGGCCUUCGGGUUGUAAACCUCUUUCGGUAGGGACGAAGCGCAAGUGACGGUACCUACUAAAGAAGCACCGGCCAACUACGUGCCAGCCGCCGCCAUAA